UACGGAGGGUGCAAGCGUUAUCCGGAUUCACUGGGUUUAAAGGGUGCGUAGGUGGGCAAGUAAGUCAGUGGUGAAAUCUCCGGGCUUAACCCGGAAACUGCCAUUGAUACUAUUUGUCUUGAAUACUGUGGAGGUCAGCGGAAUAUGUCAUGUAGCGGUGAAAUGCUUAGAUAUGACAUAGAACACCUAUUGCGAAGGCAGCUUACUACGCAUAUAUUGACGCUGAGGCACGAAAGCGUGGGGAUCAAACAGG
rnacentral:rRNA from 1 species